rnacentral:lncRNA from 1 species
GGGUAUGUAGUUGGAUAGGAGGGUUUGGUCGGGUUAUAAAAUUGGUUCGAAUUUUGGUUUAAAUAUGGUUUACGUUCUAAACCUUUAAAACCAACUUAAAAAUUUGUCUGGGGGGAGUCGGGUUUCGAUAUUCCGGUUUGGGAGGAAAUAGAUUGAAAUAGUUGAAUCGUGUGCAACCGGAAAGAGGUCCAAAGUUUGUGUAGAUUUGUUACUAUAUGAUAGUUAUGGUGUGGAAAUAUGUCGUUAAUCCUUCUUUUUUUGCCAAAGUGCACCCCAUCUUGUUUUAAAUUUUGUAAAAUUUUACAAACAUUUCUCAUAUUUAUACGAAUUUCACAUCUUUGACCAAAAAAAGAGAGAAAUAUUGUUGUAUUACAUUAUAACUAUUUGACGGUACAGCUCAGGCCUCCAAGCUCGGAGAAGCAAGCCUGACCCUUUUUUAACUAUAUUUGUUUGGAAGGAUAUCAUUCUCCCAUUUGUUUUUUAAGGUAAGGUAUUCCAACAAAUCAGCCCAAAAAGAAAGACUUUAGUACAUGCUAGGUAAUAACCCGCGCCUUGCGCGGAAUGUGAUUAUUAAUUUUGUUAUUUUUUAAUAAGGAGACAUUAAUCUGUUUAAUCUGGAUAUCAGUUUGGUGGUAGGUUGUUUUUUUUUUUUUGGUUUUUUCUCCUAGACUAUAACUAUCAUUUUAAAUCAAUAUUUUUUGGUUUGUUCGGUUAAAAUGUUUGAUGUUUUUGUUUUUUUCCUGUGAUAAUCAAAAAAUUACUAUUAUUUAUUUGUUUUCAUGUUAUGAAUCUUAGAUAGUCGUGAUGUCGAACCAAUGGUUUCAUAUUAUAGUUUCUAAACGGAUAAUAGUUAAAAAAGAAAAGAAAAUUAUUAAGUCAAAUCAUUUUACUACAAUUUGGUCAAUAGUGAAAGAAGCAUUAAGAAAAAAAAAUAUUUUAACUUCCAAAAAAUUAGAUAUUACAGCUGUGGUGAAUACUUAGUUAUAAGGUGUUCACGUCAAUGUGCAGAUGUAUGUGUAUGUAAAAGUAUAUAAAGAUGGUUGAUAAAUAUAUAAAGAUAAUUUUAAUUAAUAUUAAAUGACACUUUUUCAAAAUAAUACAUGAAAAAAUAAAUUAUUAAAUGAAAUUAUUUAAAAAAAAAAAUAUUGUAAAAUUUAUAUAAACUAUAAUAUAUCAAAUUG